UCAGUUGUCGUCCAGUGGCUAGGAUGUCUGGCUUUCACCCAGGAGACCCGGUUCGAUCCCGGCAACGGAA
rfam:Theobroma cacao cultivar Matina 1-6 chromosome 2, whole genome shotgun sequence.